rnacentral:rRNA from 1 species
CGAGUGGCGACGGGUGAGUAAUAUAUCGGAACGUACCCUGGAGUGGGGGAUAACCUAGCGAAAGUUACGCUAAUACCGCAUACGAUCUAAGGAUGAAAGUGGGGGAUUCGCAAGAACCUCAUGCUCCUGGAGCGGCCGAUAUCUGAUUAGCUAGUUGGUAGGGUAAAAGCCUACCAAGGCAUCGAUCAGUAGCUGGUCUGAGAGGACGACCAGCCACACUGGAACUGAGACACGGUCCAGACUCCUACGGGAGGCAGCAGUGGGGAAUUUUGGACAAUGGGCGCAAGCCUGAUCCAGCAAUGCCGCGUGAGUGAAGAAGGCCUUCGGGUUGUAAAGCUCUUUUGUCAGGGAAGAAACGGGCUUUUCUAAUACAGAGGCCUAAUGACGGUACCUGAAGAAUAAGCACCGGCUAACUACGUGCCAGCAGCCGCGGUAAUACGUAGGGUGCAAGCGUUAAUCGGAAUUACUGGGCGUAAAGCGUGCGCAGGCGGUUUUGUAAGACUGUCGUGAAAUCCCCGGGC